UCCUGGUGGCUCAAAUGGUAGAGAACCUGCCUGCAAUGCAGGAGAUCUGGGUUCGAUCCCUGGGUCAGGAA
rnacentral:tRNA from 1 species